rnacentral:rRNA from 1 species
UACGAGGGGGGCAAGCGUUGUUCGGAAUUAUUGGGCGUAAAGGGCGCGUAGGCGGUGCGGUAAGUCACCUGUGAAAACUCUGGGCUCAACUCAGAGCCUGCAGGCGAAACUGCCGUGCUUGAGUGUGGGAGAGGUGCGUGGAAUUCCCGGUGUAGCGGUGAAAUACGUAGAUAUCGGGAGGAACACCUGUGGCGAAAGCGGCGCACUGGACCACAACUGACGCUGAGGCGCGAAAGCUAGGGGAGCAAACAGG